rnacentral:lncRNA from 1 species
UGCCCACUUAGCUUUUUAAGCUCAGAUAGACUGACCCUAUGCGUCGAACUAAGGAGGCAGAGCCUCUGGUGAUAAGGUUCAUGUACAAGAAGAAGGAGGAAGAACUCUGCAGGUGAAGGGCUCUGGACACAGCCCGGGACAGGAUCAUAUGAGGUACUUCGCCAAAGCCGGUAAGUGUUGUAUGCUGGUCUCAGAGACCUUAGUUCCUUGAAAGACCUGUUUUCAUUUUAUAGAAGAGACUCCAAACCCAGGAAUUAAGGAACUGACUGGCUGUUUGGGAAGCAUUCAGAAAAUGUGACAAGAGGUGUCAUACGCAGGCUAGAAGCAGAGAUCCAAGACAGGAAAAUACUUUGGCCUGGGUUUUCACUUUCCUUCUUGCUUCUGAAAUAAGACUGGGAGAACAGCUGCAUGUUUGCAGCAGAUAGGGAGCUGCACCGCCCUGCCCAUCUAGGACUCCCUCCCUAAAUUCUGUGAACAACACCUCGAGCCCCAGACUGCCUCGGCCUUGGAUUCUUGUCUCUCUCAUCAUUCAUACUUGAAGUUAGGGGCUCCUGGUUGCUGUGCAAAAAUAAGUGUAUUCACCUGGGCAACCGAGCCUGUGCCAUGAUUCUGCCCCCUGCCAGGAGACUCAGAGCUGAGAUUUGAGCAGAAGAUGGGAAGUGAUGAGCUCAACAGAGGGAGGAAAUUCUGUCUUCUCAGCUUCCUUUAGAUCCUCCAGAAAAGAGCCUUCUGGCUCCUCGGAAUUAAGACUGGUAGAGGAGGUCACCCAACUGGAUCAGAGAUUGGGAGAUAAAAGUACUGAAGUCAAAUGAGACAUCUGUGAAGUACUUUGAAAAAAUAUAGUCCUCCUGUGUGCACUCAGAGCAGCUACUUCAAUGACUGUAUCACUGGUACAGGCCAUAGACAUCAGCUGGAGCUGAAUGUGAUGCUCACCGCCCGCCCUGCAUUCAUCCUGAUCCCCGAGCCAGACCUGAGCCUGCACCCUGCCCCACAGAGAGGUGAUCUGCUGGAUCUUGAACUUCCAGCUUAGGUGGUUGCAUAAGCCCUGCGUUCCUGCCCCAACUCACGCUGCCCUCGGACCCCGGCCCGGCCGGCUGCACUCAGCGCCCGCCGCUCGCCGGGCCAACGCCCAGGAAACCCUGUGCCUUGGCCGCUGCUCCGGGAGGGCCGAUCGCCCACCUGCCCCGGCCCACCUGAGGACGGGGGAGUCUUCAUGCGGCCCGGACACGGCUCGCCCCGCCGCCACCCCCGAGCUCCGCGCGCUGAGCCCCAGCCCCAGCUGGGCACGCAACUUUGGAAGUCCGGCGGCGCUCCGGGAGAGGCGGCAGAGUCCGCACCCCGGCCCCAGCCCGGGUCCGGCCGGCACCGCCGCGUCUGGGGGAAAGCGAAGGAGUCGGUAAUCGCUGUUUCGGGGAUGUAAGAAGACAGACCUAGGACCCCAGGCCCGCAUCAGCGCCCCUCGGCUGCCUCCCGGGGUGGGGGCGGGCCCCGCACACGGUAAGACCUCUUGCUUUCGCUCAGGCUCGAGAGUCAAGAUAGAGAUAGAUUUUAAAUUUUCUGUCAUCUCUCCAAGUGAUCAGGCCACCGAUGAUUUCUGUUCUCCCUUCUUGAAGAAUAACUCUCCCUUUCCCCAUCGGCUCGACCUACUCUCUCCCGCCGCUUAGAAAUAAAACUUGUGCUGAGCUGGGCAGGAGAAGGCGCCCACGACGAGCGCCACAAGCGCAGGCCGGGCGCCGUUCGCGGGAGCCGGGCCCAUGGGCUGCUAGCGCCCCCCAUCCCCCGGCAGCUCGGGCCGGCGUCCCUGCGGCCCCCUCCCCAUGUGAGGCGCGGCAGGGCGAGCGGGGCGCGGGAGGAAGAGGAGGACCCACGGGCGCCGGGCCGGAAGGCAGCUGGCAGCAGGCCCAG